GCUUCGCGUUUUUGUGCAUGUGCGGGAAGUUUUGUCCGCGGAAGUGCAAUGAAAAAGGGUAGUUUCCUUCUGUUCAGUGGUCAAGGGCAACUCAGGCCAAAGAAUAGCUGAUCAUGUUGGAGACCCCUGGUUUAAACGAUCCUCUGCCAAAAAGCGAGAAUGGUGCAACGCUAUCUCUUUCUGAGCGACGAUGUCUGUCACACAAACAGGCUGUAUCGUGAGGGACAGUGUAACGUGGACACUACUAGUAGUUGUGCAGUGCAGUGAGGAUGACUACUGAAGAUUUUUUGAGAAUGAACGUCCUGUCGAACCAUCCUGCCGCAUCAUCGUCCCAGGUUAUCUAUGUACGUUUUGUGCUACUUAUGGUGAUAUGGAAUCUACAGUGAAGCUCAACUGAAGAAUAACAAGAUCACCAUCAGGAACCAAGCAGUUGUCAACGCAGCCUCUGGGAGCUUCUUUGCAUCUACAAAGUAUUUUGAG